GGGUAGUGAGAGGUAGUCUUGAAACCUAAAAUUUUUGGCGGUUUUUUAACCUAUUAGAGGAAUCUGUUCUGUAAUGGAUAACCCACUGUUGAUUUAACUUUAAUUAGAGGUUUGUAUAUCGCCGUCGGAAAGUGAGUUUUUUAGGAUUUAUUGGGAGUUUAGUUUGGUAGGAUGACAGGUCAAGGUGCAGCUUAUGUUAGAGGGUGAAAUGGAUUACAAUGUUAAAUUAGCAUAUGAAUUGUGUUGAGAAUAGUUGAUGCUUGAAGGUGGAUUUAUAAGUAGGAUGGUAUUAGGAUGAUUGUUUGAUAUUGGCUCUAUAAAAUGU
rnacentral:rRNA from 1 species